GAGGGUAGAGCUUAGUGGUAGAGCACAUGCUUAACAUGCACGUGGUCCUGGGUUCAAUCCCCAGUACCUCCA
rfam:Camelus ferus unplaced genomic scaffold scaffold706, whole genome shotgun sequence.